UAAAAUUCAGUGAAGAAGAGAGUAGUUUAAAUGUAUUUUAUAGAGAGCUAAGGACGGUGGAAGCUUAGCAAAGAAGUUUAAAUGAAGAGAGCUUUGGAGAAAACUAUUUGAACAUUUUAUUUAUAGUAGAAUAGUUGGUUUAAUCUGCCUUAAAGAUAUGAGAUAAUAAGUUUACUUAUUAAUUAGAGUGGUAUCGCGAUAAAUUCGCCUCUUAG
rnacentral:ncRNA from 1 species